rnacentral:tRNA from 1 species
AAAAUAAUUUAUUAAAGCUUCUAACUUUAAAUUUAGUGAUUAUUCAUUAUUAUUUUU